UACGUAGGGGGCGAGCGUUGUCCGGAAUGAUUGGGCGUAAAGGGCGCGUAGGCGGCUUGUUAAGUCUGGAGUGGAAGUCCUCUUUUUAAGGGAGGAAUUGCUUUGGAAACUGGCGAGCUUGAGUGCAGGAGAGGUUAUCGGAAUUCCCGGUGUAGCGGUGAAAUGCGUAGAGAUCGGGAGGAACACCAGUGGCGAAGGCGGGUAACUGGACUGCAACUGACGCUGAGGCGCGAAAGUGUGGGGAGCAAACAGGAUUAGAUACCCUGGUAGUCCCUGAGCGGG
rnacentral:rRNA from 1 species